rnacentral:rRNA from 1 species
UUAGGGCACUGGAAGGUCCCUAAACCGAAAGGGGCUCUGCCCGCCCGAGGAUGGGCCGGCGGCCGAUUAGGUAGUUGGUGGGGUAACGGCCCACCAAGCCCAUAAUCGGUACGGGCAGUGAGAGCUGGAGCCCGGAGAUGGACACUGAGACACGGGUCCAGGCCCUACGGGGCGCAGCAGGCGCGAAACCUCCGCAAUGCUCGAAAGAGCGACGGGGGGACCCCAAGUGCCGUGGUACGACCACGGCUUUUCCGGAGUGUAAGAAGCUCCGGGAAUAAGGGCUGGGCAAGGCCGGUGGCAGCCGCCGCGGUAAUACCGGCGGCCCGAGUGGUGGCCACUAUUAUUGGGCCUAAAGCGUCCGUAGCCGGGCUUGUAAGUCCCUGGCGAAAUCCCACGGCUCAACCGUGGGGCUUGCUGGGGAUACUGCAAGCCUUGGGACCGGGAGAGGCCGGGGGUACUCCUGGGGUAGGGGUGAAAUCCUAUAAUCCCAGGAGGACCGCCAGUGGCGAAGGCGCCCGGCUGGAACGGGUCCGACGGUGAGGGACGAAGGCCAGGGGAGCAAACCGGAUUAGAUACCCGGGUAGUCCUGGCUGUAAAGGAUGCGGGCUAGGUGUUGCUUGGACCUCGAGUCCAAGCAGUGCCGCAGGGAA